rnacentral:rRNA from 1 species
UACAGAGGGUGCGAGCGUUGUCCGGAAUCACUGGGCGUAAAGGGCGCGUAGGCGGCUUGAUAAGCGUGCGGUGAAAGCCCGGGGCUCAACCCCGGGUCGGCCGUGCGAACUGUCGAGCUGGAGCACUGUAGAGGCAGGUGGAAUUCCGGGUGUAGCGGUGGAAUGCGUAGAGAUCCGGAAGAACACCGGUGGCGAAGGCGGUUCUCUGGGCAUUACCUGACGCUGAGGAGCGAAAGUGUGGGGAGCGAACAGG